rnacentral:rRNA from 1 species
UACGUAGGCAGCGAGCGUUGUUCGGAGUUACUGGGCGUAAAGAGUGCGUAGGCGGUUUUCUAAGUUUGGUGUGAAAUCUCCCGGCUCAACUGGGAGGGUGCGCCGAAGACUGGAAGGCUUGAGUAUGGGAGAGGUAAGCGGAAUUCCUGGUGUAGCGGUGAAAUGACGCAGAUAUCAGGAGGAACACCGGUGGCGAAGGCGGUUCUCUGGGCAUUACCUGACGCUGAGGCGCGAAAGCUAGGGGAGCAAACGGG